rnacentral:rRNA from 1 species
GACCAGACUCCUACGGGAGGCAGCAGUGGGGGAUAUUGCACAAUGGGGGGAACCCUGAUGCAGCGACGCCGCGUGGGUGAAGAAGCGCCUCGGCGCGUAAAGCCCUGUCAGCAGGGAAGAAAAUGACGGUACCUGAAGAAGAAGCCCCGGCUAACUACGUGCCAGCAGCCGCGGUAAUACGUAGGGGGCAAGCGUUAUCCGGAUUCACUGGGUGUAAAGGGAGCGUAGACGGCGACGCAAGUCUGGAGUGAAAGCCCGGGGCCCAACCCCGGGACUGCUCUGGAAACUGCGGCGCUGGAGUACGGGAGGGGCAGGCGGAAUUCCUGGUGUAGCGGUGAAAUGCGUAGAUAUUAGGAGGAACACCAGUGGCGAAGGCGGCUUACUGGACGGCAACUGACGCUGAGGCUCGAAAGCGUGGGGAGCAAACAGGAUUAGAUACCCUAGUAC